rnacentral:rRNA from 1 species
UACGUAGGUGGCAAGCGUUGUCCGGAAUUAUUGGGCGUAAAGCGCGCGCAGGCGGUCCUUUAAGUCUGAUGUGAAAGCCCUCGGCUCAACCGAGGAGGGUCAUUGGAAACUGGAGGGCUUGAGUGCAGAAGAGGAGAGUGGAAUUCCAAGUGUAGCGGUGAAAUGCGUAGAGAUUUGGAGGAACACCAGUGGCGAAGGCGGCUUGCUGGUAUGUAACUGACGCUGAGGCGCGAAAGCGUGGGGAGCAAACAGG